ensembl:lncRNA
GUGCGCCGGCGCGGAUGUUUGUGUAGCGCGAGAUGAUGUUUUUGUUGUUCUAAUCUUCUGAAUAUGGCUUCGUAGUUCUUUUGACAAGGCGUAGGGAAAGCCCCCUCCCCAAUUUAUUUCAGCUUGCCUUCAAGCAUCGCUGCAAGAUCUGCGCUACACACACCGUGACACAGCCGAGGAAAUGCGGACUUCUAGCCCUUGGGUUAAAUGGCUGCAGCACCCACACGGUAGCAAGCUGACUCACUGCAAGUGUUCCAUGGAACAAGAAGAGCGGCAUGAAGGAGAGCGAGACUGCUUCUUCCUGGGUCUCCUUUCCCCUGGGAACAUAUGGAGAGAGAGAGAGAGAGAGACCCGGGCUCAUGUCAAA